UACGGAGGAUGCAAGCGUUAUCCGGAAUGAUUGGGCGUAAAGCGUCCGCAGGUGGCUAUGUAAGUCUGCUGUUAAAGAGUGAGGCUCAACCUCAUAAGAGCAGUGGAAACUACAUGGCUAGAGUGCGUUCGGGGCAGAGGGAAUUCCUGGUGUAGCGGUGAAAUGCGUAGAGAUCAGGAAGAACACCGGUGGCGAAAGCGCUCUGCUAGGCCGCAACUGACACUGAGGGACGAAAGCUAGGGAAGCGAAUGGG
rnacentral:rRNA from 1 species